AUUGAACGCUGGCGGCAUGCCUUACACAUGCAAGUCGAACGGCAGCACGGGUGCUUGCACCUGGUGGCGAGUGGCGAACGGGUGAGUAAUACAUCGGAACAUGUCCUGUAGUGGGGGAUAGCCCGGCGAAAGCCGGAUUAAUACCGCAUACGAUCUACGGAUGAAAGCGGGGGACCUUCGGGCCUCGCGCUAUAGGGUUGGCCGAUGGCUGAUUAGCUAGUUGGUGGGGUAAAGGCCUACCAAGGCGACGAUCAGUAGCUGGUCUGAGAGGACGACCAGCCACACUGGGACUGAGACACGGCCCAGACUCCUACGGGAGGCAGCAGUGGGGAAUUUUGGACAAUGGGCGAAAGCCUGGUCCAGCAAUGCCGCGUGUGUGAAGAAGGCCUUCGGGUUGUAAAGCACUUUUGUCCGGAAAGAAAUCCUUGGCCCUAAUACGGUCGGGGGAUGACGGUACCGGAAGAAUAAGCACCGGCUAACUACGUG
rnacentral:rRNA from 1 species